GACGAACGCUGGCGGCGUGCUUAACACAUGCAAGUCGAGCGGAAAGGCCCUUCGGGGUACUCGAGCGGCGAACGGGUGAGUAACACGUGAGUAACCUGCCCUAGGCUUUGGGAUAACCCCGGGAAACCGGGGCUAAUACCGGAUAUGACCUGGUGCCGCAUGGUGUUGGGUGGAAAGUUUUUUCGGCCUGGGAUGGGCUCGCGGCCUAUCAGCUUGUUGGUGGGGUGAUGGCCUACCAAGGCGAUGACGGGUAGCCGGCCUGAGAGGGCGACCGGCCACACUGGGACUGAGACACGGCCCAGACUCCUACGGGAGGCAGUGGGGAAUAUUGCACAAUGGGCGGAAGCCUGAUGCAGCGACGCCGUGUGAGGGAUGAAGGCCUUCGGGUUGUAAACCUCUUUCAGCAGGGACGAAGCGUGAGUGACGGUACCUGCAGAAGAAGCGCCGGCCAACUACGUG
rnacentral:rRNA from 1 species